rnacentral:lncRNA from 1 species
AGCAGCACUGUGUAGCUAAGUCCUGAAUAACAACUUACAUGAGUAGGCCCAUGAAUUGCUUGAAAACGAGCCUAUAUGUAUUAUGAGAUAUGAGGUAGCUUUGGCUACAUAUAUGGCACUUAUGUGCAAGAUUUUUGAGUAUCCGUUAAUAUUCCAAGUGUUCAAUGGGAAAUUCAACGAGGAAUUCAACGGGUAUGUCAAAGAAGAGAAAGAGCAUGUAAGUAUUACGAAUUAGUACAGGUAUGUACAUAAAGUUUAUAAGUAGUGAC